CCUACGGGUGGCAGCAGUGAGGAAUAUUGGUCAAUGGGCUUACGCCUGAACCAGCCAAGUCGCGUGAGGGAAGACUGCCCUAUGGGUUGUAAACCUCUUUUGUCAGGGAGCAACGCCGGCUACGUGUAGCCGGACUGAGAGUACCUGAAGAAAAAGCAUCGGCUAACUCCGUGCCAGCAGCCGCGGUAAUACGGAGGAUGCGAGCGUUAUCCGGAUUUAUUGGGUUAAAAGGGUGCGUAGGCGGACUGGAAAGUCAGCGGUAAAAUCGAGAGGCUCAACCUCUUUCCGCCGUUGAAACUGUCGGUCUUGAGUGGGCGAGAAGUAUGCGGAAUGCGUGGUGUAGCGGUGAAAUGCAUAGAUAUCACGCAGAACUCCGAUUGCGAAGGCAGCAUACCGGCGCCCGACUGACGCUGAGGCACGAAAGCGUGGGUAUCGAACAGGAUUAGAUACCCUUGUAGUC
rnacentral:rRNA from 1 species